AACGAACGCUGGCGGCAUGCCUAACACAUGCAAGUCGAACGAGACCUUCGUGUCUAGUGGCGCACGUGUGCGUAACGCGUGGGAACCUGCCCUUAGGUUCGGAAUAACUCCCCGAAAGGUGUGCUAAUACCGGAUAAUGUCUUCGGACCAAAGAUUUAUCGCCUUUGGAUGGGCCCGCGUUGGAUUAGCUAGUUGGUAGGGUAAAAGCCUACCAAGGCGACGAUCCAUAGCUGGUCUGAGAGGAUGAUCCUCCACACUGGGACUGAGACACGGCCCAGACUCCUACGGGAGGGAGCAGUGGGGAAUAUUGGACAAUGGGCGAAAGCCUGAUCCAGCAAUGCCGCGUGAGUGAUGAAGGCCUUAGGGUUGUAAAGCCCUUUUACACGGGAUGAUAAUGACAGUAACGGGAGAAUAAGCUCCGGCUAACUACGUG
rnacentral:rRNA from 1 species